CCAGCACUCGGGAGGCAGAGGCAAGUAGAU
rnacentral:piRNA from 1 species